rnacentral:rRNA from 1 species
UACGUAGGGUGCGAGCGUUGUCCGGAAUUACUGGGCGUAAAGAGCUCGUAGGUGGUUUGUCGCGUUGUUCGUGAAAACUCACAGCUUAACUGUGGGCGUGCGGGCGAUACGGGGCAGACUGGAGUACUGCAGGGGAGACUGGAAUUCCUGGUGUAGCGGUGGAAUGCGCAGAUAUCAGGAGGAACACCGGUGGCGAAGGCGGGUCUCUGGGCAGUAACUGACGCUGGAGGAGCGAAAAGC